UCAGUGAACUGAUCUGCCCGUGCAGAAGCGGGCAUGCUUACGCAAGACGAGAAGACCCUAUGGAGCUUUAGACGUUCACCAACUGCAUCAGAGGCGGCUAGAGAACCUAACUCCCAGACAAUGUGAUUCUGGUCAGAACGUCUUAGGUUGGGGCGACCGUGGAGGAGAACAAAGCCUUCGACGAGGACAGGGGCCCACAACCCUAAAACCAAGAGCCACACCUCUAAGUCUCGAAACAUUCGACCGAUAACUGAUCCGGCUUUUUGCCGAUCAACGGACCAAGUUACCCUAGGGAUAACAGCGCAAUCCUCUCCCAGAGUCCAUAUCGACGAGAGGGUUUACGACCUCGAUGUUGGAUCAGGACAA
rnacentral:rRNA from 1 species